rnacentral:rRNA from 1 species
GAUGAACGCUAGCGGCAGGCCUAACACAUGCAAGUCGAGGGGUAGAACACUUCGGUGUUUGAGACCGGCGCACGGGUGCGUAACGCGUAUGCAAUCUACCUUGUACAGGGGAAUAGCCCAGAGAAAUUUGGAUUAAUGCCCCAUAGUAUAUAACCUUCGCAUGUUGGUUAUAUUAAAGUUGCAACGGUACAAGAUGAGCAUGCGUCCCAUUAGUUAGUUGGUAAGGUAACGGCUUACCAAGACGAUGAUGGGUAGGGGUCCUGAGAGGGGGAUCCCCCACACUGGUACUGAGACACGGACCAGACUCCUACGGGAGGCAGCAGUGAGGAAUAUUGGUCAAUGGGCGCAAGCCUGAACCAGCCAUGCCGCGUGCAGGAAGACGGUCCUAUGGAUUGUAAACUGCUUUUAUACAGGAAGAAACAACUCUACGUGUAGAGUCUUGACGGUACUGUAGGAAUAAGGAUCGGCUAACUCCGUGCCAGCAGCCGCGGUAAGAC